rnacentral:hammerhead_ribozyme from 1 species
GUACUGAUGAAGAGUCCCAAACUAGAACGAAAUAGCUGUCCAGUAC